UAAUGUCAAUUCUGUGCAUAUUUUACUUCUGUUCUCAGUGCUCACUGCACGCUGGUGACAGACUUUCUCUGCAAGGGAGGUUUGUGUCCUUUCCUACUUUCCUCUCUCCAUUACUGCAGCCCUACCGCCUCCCUGUGCCCUUUGAUAAUUUUUUUUCUCCCGCCCGCCUUUUACCCCUCUGUUCCUUUAACCCUCCCUUAGCCGACUCAGAGCGUGCGCAUGCACUCUGAGCCAGUUAAAUCGUCAAGUCAAAGGCUUCUCUGUGAGAAAUCUGCGAUAGGACUCCCCCACGGCUCUUGUGACUCCACAUGGGGGGCCGUGCCGAGCACCACAGGAUUAAUAUUAAUA